GCUUUGAGCAAACUGUGACAUUUCGAGUACUAAUGCCACAGCAUAGGUAAAAUUAAUUAAACAGAUUAAUUAAAACUUUUACAAAAUACAAAUAUUAAAUUUUCUUUCAUAAAAUAAAACAUAUUUUUAUCCAAAAUAACACUAACACAAAUUUAAGCCAAAUAACACACCAUGACAUAUUCCCCCCUACUCUUAUAUGUUUGUCCCCAAACAUGAUACAUAUAUACAUACAUUCACACUUAAAAUAAUCUUUAUACACUACAAUAAACUAUACAUAACCUGGCGCCAGAAAAAAUUGUAUGUACAAUAAUUGUUUGCUAGCUAGCUUCUCCCAACCUUUAUAUUUUUGUGUAAAUCUCAAAAAAAAAAACAAGACACUUUAACCAAAAUCAAAAGAUGAAGUAAUAAGAAAUAGUAUGCGUGCACUCACACUAAGUCCUAGAACUACCUACCCCGAAAAAAAAAUGUUUUAGAAAAACUA
rnacentral:lncRNA from 1 species